GAUGAACGCUGGCGGCGUGCCUAAUACAUGCAAGUCGAGCGAACAGACGAGGAGCUUGCUCCUCUGACGUUAGCGGCGGACGGGUGAGUAACACGUGGAUAACCUACCUAUAAGACUGGGAUAACUUCGGGAAACCGGAUCUAAUACCGGAUAAUAUAUUGAACCGCAUGGUUCAAUAGUGAAAGACGGUUUUGCUGUCACUUAUAGAUGGAUCCGCGCCGCAUUAGCUAGUUGGUAAGGUAACGGCUUACCAAGGCGACGAUGCGUAGCCGACCUGAGAGGGUGAUCGGCCACACUGGAACUGAGACACGGUCCAGACUCCUACGGGAGGCAGCAGUAGGGAAUAUUCCGCAAUGGGCGAAAGCCUGACGGAGCAACGCCGCGUGAGUGAUGAAGGUCUUCGGAUCGUAAAACUCUGUUAUUAGGGAAGAACAAAUGUGUAAGUAAAUAUGCACGUCUUGACGGUACCUAAUCAGAAAGCCACGGCUAACUACGUG
rnacentral:rRNA from 1 species